UCGAGUUAUCCAAUUCCUAAACAAACUAUUCUUUUUUUUCGCAAGAACAUCAUUCGGCCGGAGCAGCUGGUUCCACGAUGCUCUUUAAAAGCAACAGCGAAAAUGUCUGUCGGGAAUGCGUUCCGCGCCCCAGACUUUGCUCUGCCCGAAUCUACGAAGAUUAAAUUACGCGUCUCCGGUAUUUGGAAUAUUUGCCUCGUUAUCUACUGGCUCGCUCGCCGGCAGUUCGUAAGAUUUACGAAUCUACUCGCGACUUAAUGCGACACAAGCUUUGAAUCACGUUGUUAAUACCGUGUCACUACUGCAUUUCGAGACGAAUUUCUCGGAAGGUCCGGAGAUUCUGAUAGCAGCGUCUGCGUUUAAUCUUCUAAUCGUGAAAAAAUAUUACACGGAAAGUUUUAUACCUUUGGAGGAGUUCGAAUGAUGACGGUAUCGGUGUUGGCUUGCCGAGGAUCAAUUUGCCCAAGAUUUUAACAUCUUGGGAUUAGAAAUGCAAUCAGGAUCAAACUCUGUGAAACGUUAUCUCAAAGAACAGUUGGUAAACGUUAACGUGUUAACACAUAUCACUACUUUCCUUCUCCCUAUUUUUGUACAAUCCUUCUGUUUUAUUUGAACCAAUUAACAGCGGCAUUUAAUCUCAGAAUCUUCUCAUGGGGUUCAAGCGACGACGAGUAUACUCGUCAAACGCAGUCGACUGGUUAAUCGAAUCAUAAAAAUGAACGAACAAAAUAAUCUUGAAACUAGUAUUUUGUUGAACAACUAUGAUAAGAGACCGCGAAAGACAAUUGAUCGCUAGUCAGCGUAUAGUGCGUACUCGCUAACUGUCCAAAAGUUAGUUCAAGAUUUCGCAAUGGAAUUGCCAUGUGGCUAAGUGUCGGAUCGUUAGAAUCGUAGCUUUUUCAUGCAAGAGCUCGAUGCAAUAAGAUUCAAUUUUCCAUAUAUAGUAACAAUUAUUUCAGAUUAUUAUUUUAUUUUCGAUGAUUUGGCUAGAAAAGACAGCGAGUGUUUGAAAUAAUAAUGUGCAAUUGAUCUUAUGUAAAAUAGGCGAAGUAAACUUCAAUGUCUAUACAAA